GUCCACGCCCUAAACGAUGUCUACUAGUUGUUGGGUCUUAAUUGACUCAGUAACGCAGCUAACGCGUGAAGUAGACCGCCUGGGGAGUACGGUCGCAAGAUUAAAACUCAAAGGAAUUGACGGGGACCCGCACAAGCGGUGGAUGAUGUGGAUUAAUUCGAUGCAACGCGAAAACCUUACCUACGCUUGACAUGUCAAGAAUCCCGAUGAGAGUUGGGAGUGCUCGCAAGAGAACUUGAACACAGGUGCUGCAUGGCUGUCGU
rnacentral:rRNA from 1 species